UUUAAAGAAUCUUCUUAUUCACAUUAAAAAGAAAUGAUAUAUUAAUGUUCGAUUCUUAUUCCAUUGCAAAUUUUUUUCAUCAAAUUUUUAACACGAUCGGGGUUCUGCGAACGCGUAUUAAGUAUUAAAAAAAUGAAUCAUUUCAAUACAAAGAGUUUAGAAACGGUCUAUUUCUGUCAAUAACCUAACAGUAACUUAAUAAAUACUGGCUAUGUGAUUUUCAGAUUUUUUUCAGUAUUUGUUGGGUCUUUGUCCCGUUUUUCAGCCAUUAAUUUUAAGUCAUAUCUCAGAUAAAAAUUAGUAAAUGAAGGUCCGUACAUAAUCUCAUUGGUAAGAAAUAGGUUGGAAUAAAUGAAAGUUAUCCUCUAUGGACCUUUCCCCGACCUUUGACCUUUAUUGUUUUUGGUCGCUCAGACAAACAUUGCAAAUAUUCAGACUUGUGUAGGGCGAUAGACUGGUACGGUGCGUUGCUCGUUUUGAAGGCCUUCAGAUGGCAUUUCACUAGUGAUGGCGGUAUUUUCGUGCUUCUAAAGUUAUACCAUAUUGUCAAGUGAUCUAUUAUUAACGUUAUUCCGCCUUCACAUUGCCGUUACCGUACCUGACUUAGUUCCAAAAGCGGCGAAAAGCCUACCGGUAUGUAGUUUAACCUCGAAUCGGAGUUUAACUUUGGAUCGGCGGUUUAAGUCCGGAUCAAAAAGAUAUUUGAAUCUACCUGUGCCCAAAAGUUUCCUUUUAGUUAUAUUUUGUGUAUGAGCAGAACUGAGAUUUACCUACGAUCGGCUAAUUCACAAGUCUGCAAGGUCCCGAAGUUGGAUCAAAAAAAUAGACAAGGAGCGAAUAGAUAGCAGAAGCUGUUUCAAGUCAAGUAAACUGUCUGAGUGCCAUGAUGAUGAUCAAUUUUAUCAGCUCUAUUGGAGGAGCAAAUUUGUCAUGAAGACAAACAACUGUUAUGGAUAGGAUUAUAGUAAAAGUGUUGUCAAGUCAAGGUUGCAGCAGUGCUUUAUUCUACGCCUUCGUGUCCAACAAAUAUGUGGAACCCGGUUAACUUAAGCCUAACAAAUAAUUCUUGCAUGCUAAAACAUUUGAAGCAAACGUAGUUAUGUCGAUUUUUCGUCACUUGGCGAGUCUCAAAGCUGUAGAGCCAGAAUAAAAUUUAGCACCUCUUCCGAAUUGAUUUUUUCAAUUUCUUGAAUGUUAGUACAUUUUAGCAGUCAUUUGAACAAAUGAAUAUUGGUUAUUUUCGCAAUACAAAUUUUCAAAAUAAUAAAAUGUUAAAUAUGUAGAAGCCUGUGGCCCGGAACUUGCCAGGGAUAGGUUUUCAGCUGAAGUGUGUUCAUUUCAUCUGUUUCCACUCUAAGUAGGAUGAGGGUUCUAUAAUUUAAGUCUUGUUUGUUGUUAUGCUGAGGUUUUAGGAGAAAAAUAUUAGAUUCAAUUGGUGUUGUAGACCAGGGUCGUCCAACUCGUGGCCCUUCGAUGGGUUCGCAGGUUCGAAUCCCAUGCAGGGAU